CCUACGGUGUGCUGCAGUGGGGAAUAUUGCACAAUGGGGGAAACACUGAUGCAGCAACGCCGCGGGAGUGAAGAAGUAUUUCGGUAUGGAAAGCUCGAUCAGCAGGGAAGAAGAUGACGGUACCUGAGUAAGAAGCCCCGGAUAACUACGUGCCAGCAGCCGCGGUAAUAAGUAGGGGGCAAGCGUUAUCCGGAUUUACGGGGUGGAAAGGGAGCGCAGACGGCAGUGCAAGUCUGGAGUGAAAGCCCGGGGCCCAACCCCGGAACUGCUCUUGAAACUGUGCGGCUAGAGUACUGGAGGGGCAGGCGGAAUUCCUAGUGUAGCGGUGCAAUGCGUAGAUAUUAGGAGGAACACCAGUGGCGAAGGCUGCCUGCUGGACAGUAACUGACGUUGAGGCUCGAAAGCGUGGGGAGCAAACAGGAUUAGAUACCCCAGUAGUC
rnacentral:rRNA from 1 species